rnacentral:rRNA from 1 species
GGUCAAAGUAAUAAGAGACU